rnacentral:rRNA from 1 species
UACAGAGGUCUCAAGCGUUGUUCGGAUUCAUUGGGCGUAAAGGGUGCGUAGGCGGCGCGGUAAGUCGGGUGUGAAAUCUUGGAGCUUAACUCCGAAACUGCAUUCGAUACUGCCGUGCUUGAGGACUGGAGAGAAGACUGGAAUUUACGGUGUAGCGGUGAAAUGCGUAGAUAUCGUAAGGAAGACCAGUGGCGAAGGCGGGUCUCUGGACAGUUCCUGACGCUGAGGCACGAAGGCCAGGGGAGCAAACGGG